UACGGAGGGUGCGAGCGUUGUCCGGAAUCAUUGGGCGUAAAGGGCGCGUAGGUGGCCCGGUCAGUUCGUGGUGAAAGCGCGGGGCUCAACUCCGCGUCGGCCAUGAAUACUGCUGGGCUUGAGCACUGUAGAGGCAGGCGGAAUUCCGGGUGUAGCGGUGGAAUGCGUAGAGAUCCAGAAGAACACCGGUGGCGAAGGCGGCCUGCUGGGCAGUAGCUGACACUGAGGCGCGACAGCGUGGGGAGCAAACAGG
rnacentral:rRNA from 1 species